AUGAGCUACUUCCAAGCUACAACUUGCAAGCCUCAUACUGGGCUCAUUGUGGACAGACCCAUAACGGGUCUUGGGAAGACCUGCAGAUUACUACCUGUUCCCCAGUAUUCCCUACGGUCACGUCCUCUCGGAUUUCGCAAGCUUGAUAAGCAUAUCUACCCACGCCUUGUUCUUGUUGCUGCUAGCCAUCCUAGGCUUACUCCUGUAUGCGCCUCAAGUGGAAAAGGGAACCCUGAGAUUGACAAUGAUCCCUUUAUGGAUCAUUUGAAGAAGGCCAUGGCUGAUGCAAAAAAGCCACGACCCAUACAAGAUGCGCUGAAAGAGAAAUUCACCAAGCUGAGAGAACAAGCAUCUGGUGGAGGUGGAGGGAAUGGAAACAGGCGUGGAGGCAAUGGUGGUUCCGGUGGCCCAGAAGAUGAAUCAUUCAAGGAAUCAUUGGAUGAAGUAGUCCAAGUUAUCUUAGCAACUGUUGCUUUUAUACUUGUGUACAUCCAUAUUAUCAGAGGGGAGGAGCUGUACCGUCUUGCGAGGGACUACACUAGAUAUCUGGUUACUGGUAAGCGAACUGCCCGGCUGAAGCGCUCCAUGCAACAAUGGCGCAAUUUCUCGGAGAAAUUCAUGCAAAACGAGGGCUCUCAAGAAGAGCGGUACGAAAGGCCAGCUGCUACGGAACCCAUGUGGUGGCAGCAGCCUCAAAAGUUUGUUCAUCUUAUGGAGGAGCUUUGCAGAGGGAACUGGCGUCCACAUGCCCAGAAGUCUUAG
rnacentral:rRNA from 1 species